AGUGGCGGACCGGUGAGUAAUGUCUGGGAAACUGCCUGAUGGAGGGGGAUAACUACUGGAAACGGUAGCUAAUACCGCAUAACGUCGCAAGACCAAAGAGGGGGACCUUCGGGCCUCUUGCCAUCGGAUGUGCCCAGAUGGGAUUAGCUAGUAGGUGGGGUAACGGCUCACCUAGGCGACGAUCCCUAGCUGGUCUGAGAGGAUGACCAGCCACACUGGAACUGAGACACGGUCCAGACUCCUACGGGAGGCAGCAGUGGGGAAUAUUGCACAAUGGGCGCAAGCCUGAUGCAGCCAUGCCGCGUGUAUGAAGAAGGCCUUCGGGUUGUAAAGUACUUUCAGCGGGGAGGAAGGCGAUAAGGUUAAUAACCUUGUCGAUUGACGUUACCCGCAGAAGAAGCACCGGCUAACUCCGUGCCAGCAGCCGCGGUAAUACGGAGGGUGCAAGCGUUAAUCGGAAUUACUGGGCGUAAAGCGCACGCAGGCGGUCUGUCAAGUCGGAUGUGAAAUCCCCGGGCUCAACCUGGGAACUGCAUUCGAAACUGGCAGGCUAGAGUCUUGUA
rnacentral:rRNA from 1 species